CACGUUGACAGUUGGAAGGGAAACGACUCGCGCGUGAGAUAACCAUGUCUUAUCUGUGUCAGUUAGUCAGGUCGUUUAUGACAUAAAGGCGUUAACGAUAAUGGUAGCAGGAGCGAUGGUGUCGGUGUUAUUAUUGGUGGUGGUAGUUGUGUAAUGUCAGCCGUGGUGACGAUGGUGGUGGUUGCGGUGGUUAGUAUCUGACGUUUGUACAGGAACAAGCAAAGUGAAGGGAAACUAGAGCAACAGUCAAAACCAGCCACAUCAGAGGAAGAGUUAAAGUGAAAGAGUGACUAAAAGUUUGAAAGAGAAUGAUAAAGGCACAGAGAGAAUGUUAGAGAGGGAAAGAAAAAGGAAGAGAGUUAGAGACAGAAAGAGGGUGAGGAGUUGAGUCAAAGGGGGAAUUAGAGAAAUAGUGAAGGUGAAAAAGGGUGGGAAAUGAUUAGAUAACGACAAAAAUAGCUUGGAUUUCAUACACAUUUAAAUGAAAGCGCACGUAUUUCAUUAAAGAGACUCGAAAACAAUGGAUUUGUUCGGUUUGACGGAGUACGUUACGACCUUCGUGCUAGGAGCAGUACUUCUUUUAGCUCUUUACCUAUAUGGAAGAAGACCAUACUUAUAUUUCAAAGAACUUGGUAUUCCCGGUCCCAAACCUACUUGUUUUUUGGGAAACUCACAUGAAAUAGGAAAGCGGGCACAAUCCACAUAUCAUAACGAACUGACAAAAUUAAAUAGGAGAAGAAACGAGAAAAAGCUGAGAAGGCAGUAUAUAGAAAAAGAAGAAGGUUAAAAAAAUGGAAAAUCAAUAAUGGAAAACGAAAAGGUAAAAGCUAAAAUGUUAAAAGUAAAAUGUAGAAAAGGUUAAAGAGUUAUCUUCCUUAGACCUUAACCGGAAAGAUAUCGACAAGUUAAUCAGGUGUCGGUGGACUUUUCCAAUUCCUCUGCAGGAGUGGCUGUGUGGUAAGUAGCUUGCUUACCAACCACAUGGUUCCGGGUCAGUCCAAUUGCGUGGCACCUUGGGCAAGUGUCAUCUACUAUAGCCUCGGGCCGACCAAAAGCCUUGUGAGUGGAUAUUUGGUAGACGGAAACUGAAAGAAGCCCGUCGUAUAUAUAUAUAUAUAUAUAUAUACUUGUGUGUGUGUGUGUGUGUGUGUGUGUGUGUGUGUGUGUGUGUGUGUGUGUUUGUCAUCCAAUCAUCACUUGACAACCAAUGGCAGUGUGUCUACCUUACUGUAACUUAGCGGUUCGGCAAAAGAGACCUAUGGAAUAAGUGCUAGGUUUACAAAGAAUAAUUCCUGGGGUCGAUUUGCUCCACUAAAGGCGGUGCUCCAGCAGGGCCGCAGUCAUGAUUGAAACAAAUAAAAGAAUACAUUUGAUUGCAACCGCUGAAUGUUUCAGACCUAGAGUUCAGUAGAGAGUUAGAGAACUUAGAUCUGAACAGGAUCUAAGCUCUUUCGGCUGAACAUAGCCUACAUAUAGUCGAUCCAUUAACAUAAGAUAUGGAUUUCUCAAUUAUUUUCCACUUAAUCACAUGUAGUGUUUCGUUAUCUUUCAAACCCCAUAAAUACCAAACCAACUUCGUAGCUUUGCUUUUGUCCUUAUAUCGGAAGGAGGCUAUGUGACUGGCAUAACGAUUUUUAAAUUCUCCUUCACACGAACCAAUAUAGGUCAUCUUACCUGUUGCAGUGUGUACCUAUUCUGUCGGUCUCCUUCGUCGAGCCGCUAAUUUACGGACACGCAAAACAUACCAAAACCGGUUGUCAAGCAGUGGUGGGGGAAGAACUGACACAAAGAUACACGUACGCAUAUAUAUAUAUAUAUAUAUAUAUAUAUAUAUAUAUAUAGAGAGAGAGAGAGAGAGAGAGAGAGAGAGAGAGAGACACACACACACACAUAUACGACGGGCUUCUUUCAGUUUCUGUUUUCCAAAUCCACUCACAAGGCUUUGGUUGGCCCGCGGCUAUAGUACGAGGCACUUGCCCAAGAUGCCAUGCUGUGGGACUGAACCCGAAGUCCAUGUGAUAGAGAAGUAAGCUUCUUACUACACAGCCACACCUGUGUGUGUAUACACACGCACAUGCAAGCACGCUCAAACACACUCACACACAUACACAUACACACACACUUUAUUAGCUUACAGAUAUUUCUGCUAUGCGAUGCAAUGCACUCAGUUGCCUACUUGUCGCAAGAUUGCGCUUACAAUUCCUAAACCAUUGCGUUGCGUUCUUGAGCAAGACACUUCAUCUCGAGUCGCUCUGUGAUCAUUUUGACACUUGACGUAUAGUACACCGUUCACCGACAUAUAUAUAUAUAUAUAUAUAGUGUAUGCAUAUAUAUGUACAUGUAUGUAUAUACGUUCAUCCACAUGUACAUAUAGAUACAUAACUGGGUACAUGACGUGGCAAAAGAACAAGGAGAGUUCGAGACAUACACACUUCACGUCUGGCUGUACAGCCCUUUUGUUUGUUUAUUUCACCGUUUCGUUUUCCUGUCUUGUUUUCAGUCCGCCACUACCCUCCACGAAAACAAUUUAAUUUCUGUUCGUGGGAAGAACCAUUUUAACGAUGCGUACUGCCUUAAUUC